AGCAGUUAUUUCAAAGCGAGGCUUUUCUGUGUUGAUGAUCGUUUUGCCAGAGAUACAAACUACUUGUUCUUUGCUCAGUUUGUGACUGAAAUACACUUGGCCACAUCCAGCAUGACGAUACAGUUGAGGAAAGGAAAGCCAAUGACUCGAGAUGGACGAAAAAUAACGUCUGGUAUGCUGCAAAACAAACGAGAGGUAGAGAAACUGGUGAGGAACAAAGAUGCAGUCAGAUUCAUGCAGCCGCUGAGAGGAACACCAGCCUACUGGGAGAAAACCACACGAGACCUUUUUGCCAUGAUCAGACAGUUGGGAACUCCCACAUUCUUUUGUACAUUUUCUGCAGCUGAGAUGCGUUGGCCUGAAGUGAUUGAGGCAAUAAAAAGACAGCAAGGUGAGGAGGUGAACUUUGAAGGGCUCGACUGGUCAGCAAAGUGUGACAUUCUGAGAAGCAAUCCCGUGACAACAAUGCGCAUGUUUGAUAAGCGUGUUGAGGCCUUAUUCAGAGAUGUGCUCUUAUCUCCUGCACAGCCUCUUGGCAAAGUCGUUGACUACUUUUACCGAGUUGAGUUUCAGCACAGAGGAAGUCCACACAUUCACUGUCUCAUAUGGGUAGAAGGUGCACCUGUGUUUGAGGAGGAUGAUGAUCACACUGUGUCAGCUUUUGUGUCUAAAUACAUCACAGCUCAGCUACCUGACCAACUCACACAACCUGAACUGUACAAGAAGGUCACAGAGGUGCAAAUACACAGCAAAAAACACUCACGGACAUGUUUCAGAAGCCCCAGCUCUGGUUGCAGAUUUGGUUUUCCUAAACCACCUUCCAGAAAGACAAUAAUAUCGAGACCUGGUGAGGGCGUUGCUCCACUGCAACUGCAAAUAGCAAAGUCCAAGCUCCAACCACUGAACUUGUUGCUGAAUGAACCUGAAACUGCCUCACUCAGUUUGCAGCAGCUCCUUGCUAAAUGCAACUUAACACUCCAAGAGUAUGAAGGAUGCCUCAAUGUCAUCAACAAAUCCAGUGCAGUGAUCCUGAAACGUGAGCCAAAGGACUGCUGGGUAAAUGGAUAUAAUGCACAUCUACUGGAAGCCUGGGAUGCCAAUAUUGAUGUCAGUUAUAUUCUCAAUGCAUAUUCAUGCAUCAUGUAUCUCACCAGCUACAUCACCAAAAAGGAAUCUGGACUUUCUGAGUACCUCAAAACAGUCAUUGAAAACUCCACCAAAGACCACGUCAAUGAAUGUGAUGAAAUGAGGGAAAUCAUGCAGGCGUACUCUAAAAAGAGAGAGGUCAGUGCUCAGGAGUGUGUGACUCGCGCAUGUGGAAUAAACAUGAAGAAGUGUUCACGUGGUGUCAUAUUCGUACCAACAGAUGACAAC
ensembl:lncRNA